rnacentral:rRNA from 1 species
GACGAACGCUGGCGGCGUGCCUAAUACAUGCAAGUAGAACGCUGUUGCGAACGGGAGAGUAACUCGUAGGCAACUGCCUGGUAGCUGGGGAUAACAAUUGGAAACGAUAGCCAAUACCGCAUUCUACCAGAUGUACCUGCGUUGUAUUAGCUAGUUGUUGAGGUAACGGCUACCCAAGACCACGAUACAUAGCAGACCUGAGAGGGGGAUCGGCCACACUGGGACUGAGACACGGACCAGACUCCUACGGGAGGAAGCAGUAGGGAAUCUUCGGAAAGAGGGGGAAGACUGACGGAGAAACGCAGCGGGAGUGAAGAAGGUUUUCGGGUCGUAAAGCUCUGUUGUUAAGGAAGCGGUACUUAACCAGAAAGGGACGGCUAACUACGUGCCAGCAGCCGCGGUAAUAC